AUGAACGCUGGCGGCGUGCCUAAUACAUGCAAGUCGAGCGAACAGACGAGGAGCUUGCUCCUCUGACGUUAGCGGCGGACGGGUGAGUAACACGUGGAUAACCUACCUAUAAGACUGGGAUAACUUCGGGAAACCGGAGCUAAUACCGGAUAAUAUAUUGAACCGCAUGGUUCAAUAGUGAAAGACGGUUUUGCUGUCACUUAUAGAUGGAUCCGCGCCGCAUUAGCUAGUUGGUAAGGUAACGGCUUACCAAGGCGACGAUGCGUAGCCGACCUGAGAGGGUGAUCGGCCACACUGGAACUGAGACACGGUCCAGACUCCUACGGGAGGCAGCAGUAGGGAAUCUUCCGCAAUGGGCGAAAGCCUGACGGAGCAACGCCGCGUGAGUGAUGAAGGUCUUCGGAUCGUAAAACUCUGUUAUUUGGGAAGAACAAAUGUGUAAGUAACUAUGCACGUCUUGACGGUACCUAAUCAGAAAGCCACGGCUAACUACGUG
rnacentral:rRNA from 1 species